rnacentral:sRNA from 1 species
CUGCUCAGCUUGGUCUGUGGUGGUGGUGGUGGUGGUGUGGGUUUGGGGUGCGGCCGGGUAGGGGGGUUCACCUGCGGCCGCGUCUGCUCGGGGCCUGAGGCCUCGAGGACCCCAGCCCAAACCCCCAGGUUGAUGCCGGCCCAGGAUGGAUCAGACCUGUGAACUACCCAGAAGAAAUUGUUUGCUGCCCUUUUCCAAUCCAGUGAAUUUAGAUGCCCCUGAAGACAAGGACAGCCCUUUCGGUAAUGGUCAAUCCAAUUUUUCUGAGCCACUUAAUGGGUGUACUAUGCAGUUAUCGACUGUCAGUGGAACAUCCCAAAAUGCUUAUGGACAAGAUUCUCCAUCUUGUUACAUUCCACUGCGGAGACUACAGGAUUUGGCCUCCAUGAUCAAUGUAGAGUAUUUAAAUGGGUCUGCUGAUGGAUCAGAAUCCUUUCAAGACCCUGAAAAAAGUGAUUCAAGAGCUCA